rnacentral:rRNA from 1 species
AACGAACGCUGGCGGCAGGCCUAACACAUGCAAGUCGAACGGGCGUAGCAAUACGUCAGUGGCAGACGGGUGAGUAACGCGUGGGAACGUACCUUUUGGUUCGGAACAACCCAGGGAAACUUGGGCUAAUACCGGAUAAGCCCUUACGGGGAAGAUUUAUCGCCGAAGAUCGGCCCGCGUCUGAUUAGCUAGUUGGUGAGGUAACGGCUCACCAAGGCAACGAUCAGUAGCUGGUCUGAGAGGAUGAUCAGCCACAUUGGGACUGAGACACGGCCCAAACUCCUACGGGAGGCAGCAGUGGGGAAUAUUGGACAAUGGGCGCAAGCCUGAUCCAGCCAUGCCGCGUGAGUGAUGAAGGCCCUAGGGUUGUAAAGCUCUUUUGUGC